rnacentral:rRNA from 1 species
UACGUAGGGUGCGAGCGUUGUCCGGAAUUAUUGGGCGUAAAAGAGCUCGUAGGCGGUGUGUCACGUCGGCCGUGAAAACCUGGGGCUUAACUCUGGGCGUGCGGUCGAUACGGGCAUCACUAGAGUUCGGCAGGGGAGACUGGAAUUCCUGGUGUAGCGGUGAAAUGCGCAGAUAUCAGGAGGGAACACCGGUGGCGAAGGCGGGGUCUC